CCGGAGGAAGGUGGGGAUAACGUCAAGUGAUGAUGGCCCUUACGGGCAGGGCUACACACGUGGUACAAUGGUCGGUACAGAGGGUUGCCAAUCCGCGAGAGGGAGGUAAUCCCAUGAAACGGAUCGUAGUCCGGAUAGCAGUUUGCAAUCUCGACUGCAUGAAGUCGGAAUCGCUAGUAAUUGUGAAUCAGGAUGUCACGGUGAAUACGUUCCCUGGCGUUGUACACACCGCCGGUCACACCAAGGGAGUGGGUUGAUCCAGAAGUAGUUAGUCUAACCGAAAGGGGGACGUUUACCACGGAGGGAUUCAUGAAUGGGGUGAGUCGUAACAAGGUAGCGGUAGGGGACCUGCGGCCAGAUCACUUCCUUGAGCUUGAUCCCCGCGAAUCGAAUUCCCGCGCC
rnacentral:rRNA from 1 species